UACGUAGGGAGCAAGCGUUGUCCGGAAUCAUUGGGCGUAAAGCGCGCGUAGGUGGCUUCGUAAGUCCGUUGUGAAAGUCAAAGGCUCAACCUUUGAAAGCCGAUGGAUACUGCGGAGCUAAAGUACGGAAGAGGCGAGUGGAAUUCCUGGUGUAGCGGUGGAAUGCGCAGAUAUCAGGAGGAACACCAAUAGCGAAGGCAGCUCGCUGGGACGUUACUGACACUGAGGCGCGAAAGCGUGGGGAGCGAACAGG
rnacentral:rRNA from 1 species